rnacentral:rRNA from 1 species
AAAAGUAAGCAAGGGCGCAUGGCGGAUGCCUUGGCUCUCGGAGGCGAUGAAGGACGUGAUAAGCUGCGAUAAGCUUCGGGUAGGUGCAAAUAACCUUUGAUCCGAAGAUUUCCGAAUGGGACAACCCGUCAUUCUGAAGGAAUGACAUCUUGCAUAGCAAGAGGCUAACGCAGGGAACUGAAACAUCUUAGUACCUGCAGGAAAAGAAAAUAAUAAUGAUUCCCCAAGUAGUGGCGAGCGAACGGGGAUUAGCCCAAACCAAUGUUGUUACGGCAAUAUUGGGGUUGUAGGACCACGAUGUCGCAAGAACUUUAGUGAGAAGAAUUCUUUGGAAAAUGAAACCAUAGACGGUGAUAGUCCGGUAUUCGAAGCUAAACGAAGCGUAGUGGUAUCCUGAGUAGCGCGGGACACGAGGAAUCUUGCGUGAAUCUGCCGGGACCAUCCGGUAAGGCUAAAUACUCCCGAGAGACCGAUAGCGAACCAGUACUGUGAAGGAAAGGUGAAAAGCACUUCGAAUAGAAGAGUGAAAUAGUCCCUGAAACCGUGCGCCUACAAGCGGUCGGAGCAGCGUAAGUUGUGACGGCGUGCCUUUUGCAUAAUGAACCUACGAGUUACUUUUUCCGGCAAGGUUAAGCAUUUCAAAAUGUGUAGCCGAAGCGAAAGCGAGUCUGAACAGGGCGAUUAGUCGGAAGGAGUAGACGCGAAACCAAGUGAUCUACCCUUGGUCAGGUUGAAGGUUAGGUAACACUAACUGGAGGACCGAACCGAUAAGCGUUGAAAAGCUUCCGGAUGAACUGAGGGUGGGGGUGAAAGGCUAAUCAAACUUGGAGAUAGCUCGUACUCCCCGAAAUGCAUUUAGGUGCAGCCUUGGGAAUUACUACUGUGAGGUAGAGCGACUGAUAAGAUGCGAGGGCUUCACCGCCUAUCAAGUCUUGAUAAACUCCGAAUGCGCAGUAGUUCGAUCCCAGGAGUGAGGGCAUGGGUGCUAAGGUCCAUGUCCUAAAGGAGAAGAAUCCGGACCAUCAGCUAAGGUCCCGAAAUAAUUGCUAAGUUGAACUAACGAAGUCAGAUUGCUAAGACAGCUAGGAUGUUGGCUUGGAAGCAGCCAUUCAUUUAAAGAGUGCGUAACAGCUCACUAGUCGAGGAGUUUGGCGUGGAUAAUAAUCGGGCAUCAAGUAUUCUACCGAAGCUUUGGGAUGUGUAAACAUCGGUAGGGGAGCAUUCCACUCGGCGUUGAAGGUGAGGCGUGAGCCUUGCUGGAGCGUGUGGAAAAGCAAAUGUAGGUAUAAGUAACGAUAAAGGGGGUGAGAAACCCCCUCGCCGAAAGACUAAGGUUUCCUGAUCAACGCUAAUCGGAUCAGGGUUAGUCGGGUCCUAAGGCUCAGCCGAACGGCGAGGCCGAUGGCAGAACCGGUUAAUAUUCCGGUACUACCUCAAGGAGUGACGUGGAGACGGAGCAGUGACAGUGCCGCGGACUGACGGAAUAGUCCGUUAAAGGGUGUAGAUGUUGAUUCCUGCAGGCAAAUCCGCAGGAAGAGUCGAACCUGACAGUAUGGAGCGUCUUUCGGGACAAUCCAAUAGUGCAUGUAAGCAUACUCCCGAGAAAAUCCGCUAAACUUAAUCCUUGUGGUACCCGUACCGCAAACGGACACACGUAGUCGGGUUGAAUAUACUAAGGCGCUUGAGUGAUUCACGGUUAAGGAACUAGGCAAAUUGACCCUGUAACUUCGGGAUAAAGGGUCCCAACGAGAGUUGGGCGCAGAGAAUAGGUCCAGGCAACUGUUUAACAAAAACACAGGGCUGUGCCAAAUUGAAAGAUUACGUAUACAGCCUGACACCUGCCCGGUGCUGGAAGGUUAAGAGGAGAUGUCAUCGCAAGAGAAGCAUUGAAUUGAAGCCCCAGUAAACGGCGGCCGUAACUAUAACGGUCCUAAGGUAGCGAAAUUCCUUGUCGGGUAAGUUCCGACCUGCACGAAUGGUGUAAUGAUCCGGACGCUGUCUCAACCAUGAGCUCAGUGAAAUUGUAGUAUCGGUGAAGAUGCCGAUUACCCGCGAUGGGACGAAAAGACCCCGUGAACCUUUACUAUAGCUUAACAUUGAAUUUGGGUAAUUGAUGUGUAGGAUAGGCCGGAGGCUUCGAAGCAGGUACGCCAGUAUUUGUGGAGCCGCUGUUGAAAUACGGCCCUUUGAUUAUUUGAGUUCUAACCCGCGGCUGCGGGGACACUGUUUGGUGGGUAGUUUGACUGGGGUGGUCGCCUCCAAAAGCGUAACGGAGGCUUCUAAAGGUGCCCUCACGACGAUUGGUAACCGUCGGCAGAGUGUAAUGGCAUAAGGGCGCUUGACUGGGAGACUUACAAGUCGAUCAGGUAGGAAACUAGAGCAUAGUGAUCCGGUGUUUCCGUAUGGAAGGGACAUCGCUCAACUUCACCUGUUUAUCAGCUAUUCAUUUCUUCAAUUUCGGCAGGAGUCAACAUUCUUGUUGCAACCUGAGUAAAGAGAAUUCCCUCAAGAUGGUCGAGUUCGUGACAAAAAGCCUUUGCAAGCAAAUCCUUGCCGUCAAUAACGAAUUCGUCACCGUGUCUGUCCUGAGCCUUAACCUUUACAUAAUCAGGUCUUACUGUGUAACCCCACUUGCCGGGGAUUGAAAGACAACCCUCAAGAGUUUCCUGCUUGCCGCUGUAAGCGAUGAUUUUCGGGUUUACAAGCUCAAUCGGACCUUCGCCGACAUCAAUAACCACAACUCUUCUUAAAAUUCCGACCUGAGGAGCGGCAAGUCCCACUCCCUCAGCCUUGUGCAAAGUUUCAAUCAUAU